rnacentral:rRNA from 1 species
CCCUUAGAUGUCCGGGGCCGCACGCGCGCUACACUGAAGGAAUCAGCGUGGCUUUCUCCCUGACCCGAAAGGGUUGGGAAACCCGUUGAAUCUCCUUCGUGAUAGGGAUUGGGGCUUGAAAUUGUUCCCCAUGAACGAGGAAUUCCCAGUAAGCGCGAGUCAUAAGCUCGCGUUGAUUACGUCCCUGCCCUUUGUACACACCGCCCGUCGCUACUACCGAUUGAACGGUUUAGUGAGGGCCUCGGAUUGGUCUCGGCCCGCUCUUUACCGGGCGGCGCCGUUGGUCGAGAAGACGCUCGAACUUGAUCGUUUAGAGAAAGUAAAAGUCGUAACA